CGUGUAGGCGGAUGGGGACGUCGGUUGCUGAAAUCCCCCGGCUCAACCGGGGAACGGGCACCGAAACGCCCCGUCUGGAGGGACGUAGGGGGACCUGGAACUUCCGGUGGAGCGGUGAAAUGCGUUGAGAUCGGAAGGAACGCCCGUGGCGAAAGCGAGGUCCUGGACGUUUUCUGACGCUGAGACGCGAAAGCUAGGGGAGCGAACGGGAUUAGAUACCCCGGUAGUCCUAGCUGUAAACGAUGGGCACUGGGUAGGGGGCUCGCCGAUGGGCUCUCUGCCGUAGGGAAACCGUGAAGUGCCCCGCCUGGGGAGUAUGGUCGCAAGGCUGAA
rnacentral:rRNA from 1 species